ensembl:lncRNA
CCGGUCCAUGUAGGAGGGCGGGGCAACAGACAGACCUGCCCCGGGAGCAACAGAUCUUCCUACCCCCGAAGCCCCACUAGGUAGCAGAGCUGGAAACCCCCACGCUCUAUGGGUUGGAAGCUGAUUGUAUGGAAGACUCUGUCUGGUCACAAAGGAGGUGAGGGAUAGAACUGAUCAAACACGCUCUUCCUCUUCUGUGGGUUCAGAGGGACAGGAAAGAGGUUGUGUUUCUGUGCAGCGGGUGGAGGCUCUGAUGGGCACGUAGCCGGCCCGAAGGGGCCAGAGGGUCAGAGCUAGUGAUGCGGUGGGGCGUGGGCUGGGCUCCCCGGGUGACAGAGGAGCCGAGCCCGAGGGAGGGGUGAGGUCCAGGGGUGGCUGGAGGAGGAACAACCAGGCGGAGUCACUGGUGGGAAAGGGCUCCCGCUCCCAGGAGAGACACUCACUUUCUCUGGAAUCACCUGGGUGACUCAUGUCACAAGAAGUGAAGAGCAAGAUGAGCCAGGGCCCGCUGUCCAGGAUGGGGCCCGCCACCGGGCAGCGUCACGGAAGGGAGCUGGGUGAAUCUUCGUGAGGAGCUCCAAGAACUGCCUCCUCAAAUGCCAAGAGAGACCUAGUGGUUUGAUCAGAGCAGCCCUCACCGGGCCCUGCGGCAACGAAUCUGCCAAAACUAAACAAACAAAAGCUGUGGCAAGCAGGGCUCAGCUGUUACGAGGCCAAUUUCCGCCAAGACCGCCCAGAUGCUGCCACCCCAGCAGGUGGUGCCCUGGGGGACGGGGCCUGAAAUGGGACCUGCUCUGUAGGGCGUGGGCUUGGAGGUUCAGGGGGGUGCCUUCUUGGCCAGGCCUAGUGCUCCGGGAGCGGGAUGGCCUUGAAGACUUGCUGGGUUUCCCACAAAGGGCAGGAGGUUACAUUCCAAAAUGCAAGCUUGCGUCUGUUGACCUGAAGCAAACAGACCGCAGGUGUUUCUGCAGCAAAGUUGGGUUUAUUCAAUUCGGGAUCAGCAGGGAAUUGCACUUAAGGCUCUCUGCCGUGGCGGCCACAUGCAAGACCGCACCCGGCAAGGGAAGGAGCAGCUUUCAUAGAGGGGACACGGGCCGGGCCGGCUGGGUAAACAGAGCCUGGGCUUCUCACGGCGGAGUCCUGGCGGGGAGGAAGGGGACUCUCCCUUCCACGGUGGGGCUCCGCUGUGGCUGCAGGGCGAGAGCGCCCCCUGCUGGACCCCUGUCUGUCUACCCAGGGUUUCCAUUCAUUAAAGUUUCACCGGCGUCCGGACGGAAGCCAAAAGGGACAUGAGAUACGCAUUUUUCCUUAUUCCUGCUUGGGGAGGGUGCUCAGAACGUUUUCCUUCUUUCUAAAGAAAGCAAGCGCUUUCAGCACAUUCUAGGUGCCCAUGCGCCCGUAGGUCGCCCACCAGCCCCUCGUCAGGAGGGGACAGAGCGCAACGCGGGCGGGAAGUGCUCUGCCUUCGCCUCGGGGCCGCCCUCCCCUCCCCGCCAAGUCGCAGCAGCGCUCACACUGCCCCCGCUUCCGGGGCUGCCCGACUCCAAAGGCAGCGCGGACCUGCGCGAGGACCUGGGGCCGCUCCUCCGGUGAGCCGUCUGGGCCGCGGCCAGCCCUGGGCUCGUCUACAGAGUAUUCUCAGAUGACGUGUGACUGCGUCGCCCUCAAUGACUUUUUACCUGAACACCCAGAAUUCAUGAAAUGCCCACGGUGACAACACCAGCCGGUGCGACAACUAAUUAUUUCAUUCAUCCCACAAACUUUUUGUUUUUAAUGUGUAACUUACAGAACUUUUUAUUCUUUUUCAUCUUAUUUAUUUAUUUAUUCUGCCACAUGGAGUCUUAGUUGCUGUGUGCAGAGUUGCCCCCGAGGUGGGUGGGAUCUUAGUUCCCCAACCAGGGAUUGAACCCGAGUUCUCUGCAUUGAAAGGCAGAUUCUUCACCACUGGACCCCCAGGGAAGGCCCC